UACAGAGGGUGCAAACGUUGUUCGGAAUUACUGGGCGUAAAGCGCGUGUAGGCUGCUCGGAAAGUCGGAUGUGAAAGCCCUGGGCUUAACCUAGGAAGUGCAUUCGAAACUUCCGAGCUGGAGUUCUGGAGAGGAAGGCGGAAUUCUCGGUGUAGAGGUGAAAUUCGUAGAUAUCGAGAGGAACACCGGUGGCGAAGGCGGCUCUCUGGGACGGUACUGACGCUGAGACGCGAAAGCGUGGGGAGCGAACAGG
rnacentral:rRNA from 1 species